UAGAGUUUGAUCAUGGCUCAGGAUGACCGCUGGCGGCGUGCCUAACACAUGCAAGUCGAGCGGUAAGGCUCUGCACUUAGUAUUUGAUUGAUAAUAGUUUAACUAUUGAAGCAAACCAACUUGAACCUAGGCUAGGGGAUAGGCGGCGAGUUAGAUCGAAUAUCGGGUGUAGAGUACACGAGCGGCGGACGGGUGAGUAACGCGUGGGAAUCUACCCCAAACUGAGGGAUAAGCAUCGGAAACGGUGUCUAAUACCGCAUAUGGUCUUCGGAUUAAAGCUUCGGCGGUUUGGGAAGAGCCCGCGUAAGAUUAGCUAGUUGGUGAGGUAAUGGCUCACCAAGGCGACGAUCUUUAACUGGUUUGAGAGGAUGAUCAGUCACACUGGAACUGAGACACGGUCCAGACUCCUACGGGAGGCAGCAGUGAGGAAUUUUCCACAAUGGGCGAAAGCCUGAUGGAGCAACGCCGCGUGCAGGAUGAAGGCUUCAGGGUUGUAAACUGCUUUUAUAUGUGACGAAUAUGACGGUAGCAUAUGAA
rnacentral:rRNA from 1 species